GUGUUUGCUUGGGCAGCACAUGUACUAAAAUUGGAACAAUACAGAGAAGAUUAGCCUGGCCCCUGCACAAGGAAAGAAAUCUUGAAUAAACACUACCCCCACCCUCUU